rnacentral:rRNA from 1 species
AGAACGAACGCUGGCGGCAUGCCUAACACAUGCAAGUCGAACGAGACCUUCGGGUCUAGUGGCGCACGGGUGCGUAACGCGUGGGAAUCUGCCCAAAGGUUCGGAAUAACUCAGGGAAACUUGAGCUAAUACCGGAUGAUGUCGCAAGACCAAAGAUUUAUCGCCUUUGGAUGAGCCCGCGUAGGAUUAGCUUGUUGGUGAGGUAAAGGCUCACCAAGGCUACGAUCCUUAGCUGGUCUGAGAGGAUGAUCAGCCACACUGGGACUGAGACACGGCCCAGACUCCUACGGGAGGCAGCAGUGGGGAAUAUUGGACAAUGGGCGAAAGCCUGAUCCAGCAAUGCCGCGUGAGUGAUGAAGGCCCUAGGGUUGUAAAGCACUUUAGUGGGGACAAAAAGCUACGGAUUAAUACUCUGUGGUCUUGAUUUAACCCAAAGAAAAGCACCGGCUAACUCUGUGCCAGCAGCCGC